rnacentral:rRNA from 1 species
GACGAACGCUGGCGGCGUGCUUAACACAUGCAAGUCGAACGGAAAGGCCCUGCUUUUGUGGGGUGCUCGAGUGGCGAACGGGUGAGUAACACGUGAGUAACCUGCCCUUGACUUUGGGAUAACUUCAGGAAACUGGGGCUAAUACCGGAUAGGAGCUCCUGCUGCAUGGUGGGGUUUGGAAAGUUUCGGCGGUUGGGGAUGGACUCGCGGCUUAUCAGCUUGUUGGUGGGGUAGUGGCUUACCAAGGCUUUGACGGGUAGCCGGCCUGAGAGGGUGACCGGCCACAUUGGGACUGCGAUACGGCCCAGACUCCUACGGGAGGCAGCAGUGGGGAAUAUUGCACAAUGGGCGGAAGCCUGAUGCAGCAACGCCGCGUUCGGGAUGACGGCCUUCGGGUUGUAAACCGCUUUCGCCUGUGACGAAGCGUGAGUGACGGUAACGGGUAAAGAAGCACCGGCUAACUACGUG